UACGUAGGGGGCAAGCGUUGUCCGGAAUCAUUGGGCGUAAAGAGCGCGUAGGCGGUCCGGUAAGUCCGCUCUGAAAGUCCGGGGCUCAACCCCGGGAGGCGGGCGGAUACUGUCGGGCUAGAGUCCGGAAGAGGCGAGUGGAAUUCCUGGUGUAGCGGUGAAAUGCGCAGAUAUCAGGAGGAACACCAAUGGCGAAGGCAGCGCGCUGGGACGGUACUGACGCUGAGGCGCGAAAGCGUGGGGAGCAAACAGG
rnacentral:rRNA from 1 species